GCUGGCGGCAUGCCUAACACAUGCAAGUCGAACGCCUGUAGCAAUACAGGAGUGGCGCACGGGUGAGUAACGCGUGGGAACCUGCCCUGGAGUGGGGGAUAACCGAGAGAAAUUUCGGCUAAUACCGCAUACGUCCUGAGGGAGAAAGAUUUAUCGCUCUAGGAGGGGCCCGCGUCGGAUUAGCUAGUUGGUGGGGUAAUGGCCUACCAAGGCAACGAUCCGUAGCUGGUCUGAGAGGAUGAUCAGCCACACUGGGACUGAGACACGGCCCAGACUCCUACGGGAGGCAGCAGUGGGGAAUAUUGGACAAUGGGGGCAACCCUGAUCCAGCAAUGCCGCGUGAGUGAUGAAGGCCUUAGGGUUGUAAAGCUCUUUCGGCGGGGACGAUGAUGACGGUACCCGCAGAAGAAGCCCCGGCUAACUUCGUGCCAGCAGCCGCGGUAAUACGAAGGGGGCGAGCGUUGUUCGGAAUUACUGGGCGUAAAGGGCGCGCAGGCGGCUCUGAAAGUCAGAUGUGAAAGCCCCGGGCUUAACCUGGGAACUGCAUUUGAUACUCUGGAGCUUGAGUACGGGAGAGGAGAGUGGAAUUCCCAGUGUAGAGGUGAAAUUCGUAGAUAUUGGGAAGAACACCCGGUGGCGAAG
rnacentral:rRNA from 1 species